rnacentral:tRNA from 1 species
GAAAGAUAACACAAGAACUGCUAAUUCCUGUACCUGAAACUAAAACC